rnacentral:rRNA from 1 species
GACGAACGCUGGCGGCGUGCUUAACACAUGCAAGUCGAACGGAAAGGCCCUGCUUUUGUGGGGUGCUCGAGUGGCGAACGGGUGAGUAACACGUGAGUAACCUGCCCUUGACUUUGGGAUAACUUCAGGAAACUGGGGCUAAUACCGGAUAGGAGCUCCUGCUGCAUGGUGGGGGUUGGAAAGUUUCGGCGGUUGGGGAUGGACUCGCGGCUUAUCAGCUUGUUGGUGGGGUAGUGGCUUACCAAGGCUUUGACGGGUAGCCGGCCUGAGAGGGUGACCGGCGACCAUGGGACUACGAGACGGCCCAGACUCCUACGGGAGGCAACAGUGGGGAGUAUGGCACAGUGGGCGGAAGCCUGAUGCGGCAGCGCCGCGUGCGGGAUGACGGCCUUCGGGUUGUAAACCGCUUUCGCCUGUGACGAAGCGUGAGUGACGGUAAUGGGUAAAGAAGCACCGGCUAACUACGUG